CAAAAUGGAGAAGAGAAAGGAGAAACUGAGGAUGGCAACCCCCCUCCGUGGGAACCCUGGGAAAGGCGGCACUGCAGGGCGUGGGCCGCUAGCAAGAACCGAUGGCCUUCCACCCCAGCAUUCGGUCUGCCCAGGCUAGCCUCAGUUUCCCCAUCUGGCCAGAAGCCCGAGAUGGCUACUUCCAGGGGGGUGUGGG